UCCAUGGAGGAAGUAAUGUUGAGCCCUCAAGGCCUGACAUCCCCCAUCAGGUAAUCCAGUCUGUGUAGUAGCAGCAGCAUUGGGAGCAGCAGCAGCAUCGGGAGCAGCAGCAGCAUCGGGAGCAGCAGCAGCAUCACGAGCAGCAGCAGCAUCACGAGCAGCAGCAGCGGCAGCAGCGGCAGCAGCAGCAGCAGCGGCAGCAGCAGCAGCAGCAGCAGCAUCACGAGCAGCAGUCCCAGAAUCGGGCGGAGCAGCAGUGGGCCUAUUUACUUCUGUGAGGGCUUGAGUGCGGGCCCAGGGUUCACUUUGCAGCACAUCACAGGAAGUGUGCGUUUCCGCGUCUCACCUCCGAGCGCCUUUUGCUUACCGGGAGGAAGCGCCGACUGCAAACGAGCUGCGCCCAGGCCGCUCAGAGCCGCCUCGCGCCGGUGCCGUCCCCGAGCUGCCGGGAGCUGCUGCGCGCGGAGACGGCGGCGGGCGCUCCGGCCGCAGAGCGGAGGAUGGGCUGCACCUGGGAGAAGAGGCUCCUCUAUCCUGGGCGGCCUCAUCCUAGUAACAGCGCUCACAGCUGACUCCAGGUGGACGCCUUGCUCCCCCUCUGCUGUCCCCCGUGCGCACCUAGUAGGCACCUACGUCUGCCCGGAAAGAACUAUUUCUAACCCUCACGUCUGCUUCUUUCCCAAGGCCUGUUCUUCUUAUCCCAGGAUCAACGUUCAUGGCUCAAGCCCCAAACCCCCAGAGUUGCUCCCCGUCUUUCCUCCCCUCCCCUCACAGUCACACAGUUUCUUUCUUUCUUUCUUUCUUUCUUUCUUUCUUUCUUUCUUUCUUUCUUUCUUUCUUUCUUUCUUUCUUUCUUUCUUUUCUUUCUUUUUCUUUUUUUUUUUUCUUUUCUUUUUUCUUUUCCAUUACCAGGGAUUGAACUCACAACCUCGCGCUUGCCAGGCAGGCGCUGUGCCGGUGAGCUAAGUCCCCAACCCCAGUCACACAGUUUCUGUGCAGAAUCUGUUAACUCUUCCUGCAAGGUGCCUCCCUUGCCCCCCCCCCCCUACCUACACGCGCAUCUCUUACCUGGCGGCCUGAUGCCGCUUCUCUGAAUGUCAGACCUCCCCUCCCGGUCCCCAGCAGUCCAGCCAGGAUUAAAGGUUUUUAUUCGUGCAUGUUUAGUGGAUAAUGAUUACAUUUAUGUUCUGCAAGGACAGAACGCCUCUUCAUUCUUUCUCCCUCCUUCGCUCCUCCUUCCGCUCCCUCCACCCCUUGGUCCCAUUUGCAAAGGAUCUAUCUCCCUGUUUUCUAUUAUCUAUGUUUUAUUUUCCUCUUUAAAUUAUUUAUAUCUUGGUUCUCUCAUAUGAGAGAAACCAUAUGAUACAUAAACUUUGUGUCUGAUUUAUUUCACUUAAGACUGUAAGAUGAUCUUUCAAAAACGUGUUUUUGUUUUUGAUUAAUAUGCAACUCUACAUAUUUAUGGGCACAGUGUAACAUUUCAGUGUGUGUAUGCACUGUGAAAAGAUCAGAUCAGGGUCAUUGGCAUAUUUAUCACUUCAGACAUUUAUCUUUUCUUGGUAUUGGGAACAUUUAGAAUCCUCUCUGCCAGUUCUUUUGAAAUAAUUAGCUGUUGUCAGGCCGGGCCUGGUGGCACAUGCCUGUAAUCCCAGGAGGGUACUUUGGAGGCUGAGGCAGAGGAUGAGUUCGAGGCCAGCCUGGGAUACACAGUGAGUUCAAGGCCAGCUGGAACUAUGUAGUGAGACCCUGUCUCAAAAAAACCCAUUAAUUGUUGUCAAUCAUAUUUUCCCUACUCUGCUAUAGAACAUUGGAAGGUGUUCAACCGCCCCAUUGCGCACUUGUACCCAUUAUAACCCCCUUUCCUCCACCCUCGCAUGCCCCACACCUUCCCCAGGCUUGGAAACUGCUCCUCUUUCUCUGCUUUUUCUGAGAUCAAGCUUUUAACUUCUGCGUGUGAGAAUAAUUGGUAUUUGUCUUUCUGUGCCUGAUUUGCUUCAUUUGACACAGUGUCCUCCAGUAUCAUCCAUGUUGCUAUAACUGACAGAAUUUCACUCUUUUUUUUUUUUUAAUGGCCAAAUAGAAUUUCCUAUUAUCUGUCUCUCUCCUUACCACUUUUUACUUAUCCAUUCUCAGGGUGAUCUUUAAAAGAGAAUUCAGAUCACAUCUCUGGUUAAGACCCUCUAGUAGAUUUUGUUUCACUUGGAAGGAAAUGCACAAAAUGUACCGUGGACACGUGCGAUUGUAAAGUCCUCUAUUAUCUACGCUGUGUCUGUCCAAUCUCAUCUCAUUCCCCUCUCCUCCUGACCCUCUAGGUUCUAGACAUCUUAAUCUUCUUGGUCUUUUUCUUCCUCAUGUUUUCCUCCUUCCCCCAUUCCUUCUCCUUUUUCUCCUCUUUCUCCCCUUCCUUCUCUUCUCCUUCUUCAACUGUGAUGCUGGGGUGGAACUCAGGACCUAGUGCACACUAGGGCAAUGCUCUACCACUGAGCUGCAUCUCCAGCCCGUUUAUAUUUUAUUUUGAGACACGGGCUUGCUAAGUUUCCUUGGCUGGCCUUGAACUGUGACCUUCCUGCCUGAGCCUUCCAAGCAGUUGGUAUUGCAGAUGCAGUACUGUGCCUUGUUUCUCGUGUGCUUAAGCAGCCUUAGGGAUCUGCACCAAUCAUUUCCCUCUACUUUUUUGCUCUUCCUUCUGGCCUUCUCAAGGAGAGCUCUUUGUGCCAUUCAUGUCUUAGCAUUUCAGCUGGCAUGUCAGUCACCUGUCAGGGAGAGCUUCUGUGGUCACGCCAGCUCUGAG
ensembl:lincRNA